UCACUGUCGAAGAGUCCCAUAAUAGGACGAAAUGGCCGUCCAGUGU
rnacentral:hammerhead_ribozyme from 1 species